rnacentral:misc_RNA from 1 species
AAGUCGUAACAAGGUUUCCGUAGGUGAACCUGCGGAAGGAUCAUUAACACGUAUCCAAACGUUAAAACCCCCCCCGUGAACUUUCAAUCCUGCUCUUGUAACCCGCGUAGUUCCGCAAUCUCUGGUAAAUCAUAGCUCUGCCUACGUGAGAAAAAUGGAACAGUUACAAUCGAGCGGUAGUUUCAUAGGCAUUGUUUCCCCAAGCAGUCAGUGUCGGAAAGUGUCAUUGAUUGUGCAAGGAUAGCGCUUCCACGAUUCCUGUAGACCGUACACUCGGGCAGGAGCUAUGCCAAAGGGUCCCCAUGCCCCCUUACAACCCCACAGUUUAAUGUAAAGCUCAAUGUAAUACAUUGGGUAAAAAAACCGAACAACUGUUAACAAUGGAUAUCUUGGUUCUC